UACGUAGGGGGCAAGCGUUGUCCGGAAUCAUUGGGCGUAAAGCGCGCGUAGGCGGCCCGGUAAGUCCGCUGUAAAAGUCCAGGGCUCAACCCUGGAAAGCCGGUGGAUACUGUCGGGCUAGAGUCCGGAAGAGGCGAGUGGAAUUCCUGGUGUAGCGGUGGAAUGCGCAGAUAUCAGGAGGAACACCGAUAGCGAAGGCAGCUCGCUGGGACGGUACUGACACUGAGGCGCGAAAGCGUGGGGAGCGAACAGG
rnacentral:rRNA from 1 species